UAGCUCUGCAUGAUGUGGCAGAAGCUAAGGGAACCAG
rnacentral:snoRNA from 1 species